CCUCAUUUGACCAAUCUGCAUAAUCCUGCUCCAGUCUCAAGUUAACCAACUCCAGUCUCUAGUCCUUUUGUCUAUUUUGAGGCCUAUUCGUAGUUUUUUAAAUAAAUUAGACAAAAUAAAAUGGUGAACGGAUAUCUGCUUUUAAUUCAAGCAUUUUGGAGGGAAGGGGAGAAAAUAAAAGCACGGCAAAAAUCGUGUCAAUGGUGGGUUUCAGGGAGGAGUCCUGAUGGACGAGUGAAGCAUUACCUCUUGAAGUUGGAUGGCAGAUGACACACUUCCAUCUUGGACACCUAAACAUUGCUUCUAUUGUAAUGUGUUUCUGCUGUUACCUGUUAUGUGUGAUAUGAGAGCUGGAUUCAAGUACACUGCUCUCUAUGCUGAAGCGAGACCUGUAUUAUGAAAAUCUAAGCCAGUCACCUGGCCAUGAUGUUGGUUAUACAUGUACUUCCGACUACAUGUAGGUGUGAGUGCUAACUCAACUUCAAGGUGCUCAAUGCAAGAGUUAGAUCCCAAAACAUGACAGAUCUUCUGAAUCUCAUCAUCUGGCUACAUCAACCCUUUUGAUUGAUGGGCCAUUACACAGGGGCAAAGAUGAGAUUACACGCAGCUAAUGGAAUUAAUUUCUUACGGCAUUCAUCAUCAAGAGCUACGUCUAUAAGGGAACCAAGAUCCUUCUCCAGAAAGUAUCCAGGACAUGGCUACAAUGAUGAAGAACUAGUUAUUCUGGUUAAGGCUUGUCUAAAUCUUCAGUAAAGUAUGAAUUAAAAAAAAACACCAUUAAACAUUCCAGUUGUAUAGUGACCGUUCGCCCAGUUCCAUGAUGAGAAGGGGUUUUGCACCCCCCCCCCCAAAAAAAGUGUCUUUAUAUGCAUGUACAUUGGGACCAUGUUAUUUAGACAUUUUAUUUUAUUCCAUGGAUAUUAGAUUUUAGAUCGUGUAUUUUGCUCAUUACAUAUAUGUGCUGUGAUAUAUUCUUUCAUUUCAUAUAACAAGUUGAAUCAAAACUUUAGAGUUACCAAUAUUAUGUUUCUAGAUAUUGAUCACUGUGGAUGCUUCCUCCCAAUCUCCGAACUAGACAUCCUUCUCUAUGGGCUCAUAACCCGGAGCAUGGCAAUUGAUUUGUGUGAUUGAUUGCACUUAAUGAUGAAUGUAAAUAAUCUUAUAAACCUUCAUUUUAAAUCAUAACAAAAGCAGUGCAUGUACUGGGAGCAGUGCUAUCCUGCGCUUGCGUUUAUUGUCUCGCCGCGGUGCGUACUACACAUUACCUGCAUUCAGAAUGUAUUGAGUAGGGAAUUAGUGUGUUAUCACAAUUCAAGUGGGCCUAUAUUGCAGGACUACGCUGUUCAGAAAAUUUUAUGGGUAGUUGAGGACUUGAGGUGGGGCUAUUAAGAAUGCCGGCUCAUAUGCCCUUUUACCCUAAAUAGACUGGGCUAUUUCGAUGCCGAAGAAGGCGGGGGGGGGGGGCUGAUUCAGGCACCCCCUCUUAUGAUCUCGGCUGCUUAUAGCUACGAAAGUUGGCACGUGCGUUACCUAUGGCAUACAUGUAAUCUACAAAACUCUUAGAUGAAAUUCUGGGGAAAAUCUCAUUGCUAAUUAAUUAUGCUAAUUUAUGCAUGAGACAGAAAGUUUGCUAUUAUUAACUAAAUAAUGCCCCUAAAAUGCUAACUUUUCAUUUUUAGACACUUUAUAGGAAUCUGGUCAAAUGUACUUUAAAAAAAAUUUAAUAUCACAUUUGUUAUGUAUUCUAUUGCUUCCUGAAUUUCUUUUGUACAUGUAAGGUAUUUCUGUGUUCAACUUUUUGUUUUUUUUCAAUGGAAAUUGCCAGGGACUUUAUUUUGACCAUAAAUAAGGUGAUAUUAAUUGAUUUCAAUCAGUAAAAGGAAAAAUAAUGAUACAUGUAAUGAAUUUUGGCUAAAAACACUAUUUGCAUUGAUUUAUACACAAAUUCAUGUUUUUUUAAAGCAAUUUUGGGUAAGCAUGCUCGUAGGAAAUGUUGCAUAAUUUUGGAUUCGCGUAACCGGGGGUUGCAAUUUUGGUCUCUGAAGUUGUGUGAGACUUGAAAGUAAAAUGUCGGCAAGCAGAAAAAAAUUUGCGCAGAUUUAUCGCAAAAAUGUCGCUGAAUCACCCCCCCCCCCCCCUCCCCGUCUUAUUAGGGUAAAAUGAGCUACUAGAUAGUUUGACAACCAAACUGGUAGCGUUAAUGAUUCAGUGGGGAGCAGAUCUUUUCAGCUGAACAAUGGCUAUCUUACAUGGAAGAAAAUAGAGAUUCUAAAGAGAAGGGGUCGAAUGCAUGAGCUCCCCCUUUCAAACUACAGGUGGUAUGUUAGAGUCACAGCUUUAUUUAGAAUGCAAAGUACAAUCAUAGAUAUCUGUUAAGAAAAAAAACGUUCUAUGAUUUUUCAAAAUGCAACUACACUACUACUUUUAAUUCCCAUUUUUCCAAAGGGCUCAUUUCUAUAUUACAGAAUAAAUUGGGAAAAUAAAGAGGCAAAACAAAUAUCCAAGCCUAUGAGAGGGGCAUCAAAGGCCAUUGCCUUUAGUAUAUUGAAUUGGAUUGUCAUAGCAUUGCAAUCAUGGCCAUAUGCAGCAGGGCAGUUGCCCCCCCCCCCCGAAAUUUUGAAAACCUACAUUUUUUUUACAAAAAAUUUUCACGAAAUCCACCACGAGUAUGUACAAAAUCUUUUAAUUUCACUUUACAAAAAAGCCAUGACAAGCUCAGUCACUUCACACUCUCGUUUCAAGUUUCUUUGAAACUAUUAAUGCAUCCUCCCCCCCCCCCGGAAAAAUAUCUGCUUACGGCCUUGAUUGCAAUAUCCUUUUUAAAUUUGUAAUGCAUUCCAUAAAUGAUUCUCAUUCGUGCCACUAGGGCUUUAUGGGUAUCACCGAAGCACAUGAACAGUUGAACACUGAAAUAUUAAGAUAAACACGGUGAGAUUUUACAUGAAAUUCAUGUUUAUUGAACAUAUGAAAACAUAAUUUACACUCUGGUACAUGUAGGCUUUGCACUUUAUGACAAAUAAAUUUGUAUAUAUUGUACAACUUAAUUGUCAACAGUUUUUGUACUAACGGUCGGACCAUUAGAUUUUCAUUGAUUUCAUAAUUGUAUUUUGAUGGUCACUGUAAAUGCUUAAUAAUUUAUUUUUAAUAUUUUGUUGAAAAUGUAACUGUCUUUGAAAAUAAAUUUUUAACUUGUAAACUGAAA